GUAGGGAAUCUUCCACAAUGGACGCAAGUCUGAUGGAGCAACGCCGCGUGAGUGAAGAAGGUCUUCGGAUCGUAAAACUCUGUUGUUAGAGAAGAACACGAGUGAGAGUAACUGUUCAUUCGAUGACGGUAUCUAACCAGCAAGUCACGGCUAAUUACGCGCCAG
rnacentral:rRNA from 1 species